GAUGAACGCUGGCGGCGUGCCUAAUACAUGCAAGUCGAGCGGAGGAGUAGCAAUACUUCUUAGCGGCGAACGGGUGAGUAACGCGUUGGUGACCUGCCCCGAAGUGUGGGAUAGCAGUUCGAAAGGACUGAUAAUACCGCAUGAGAUCUGAGGAUUUAGAAACCUCAGAGGAAAGGAGAAAUUCGCUUCGGGAGGGGCCUGCGUCCCAUCAGCUAGUUGGUAAGGUAACGGCCUACCAAGGCGAUGACGGGUAGGGGACCUGAGAGGGUGGCCCCCCACAAUGGAACUGAAACACGGUCCAUACACCUACGGGUGGCAGCAGUAGGGAAUAUUGCAUAAUGGGCGCAAGCCUGAUGCAGCAACGCCGCAUGUGCGAUGAAGGCCUUCGGGUCGUAAAGCACUUUUUGGGAGGAUGAGGAAGGACAGUACUCCCAGAAUAAGCCUCGGCUAACUACGUGCCAGCAGCCGCGGUAAAACGUAGGAGGCGAGCGUUAUCCGGAUUUACUGGGUGUAAAGCGUGUGCAGGCGGUACGGUAAGUUGGAUGUGAAAGCUCCUGGCUUAACUGGGAGAGGUCGUUCAAAACUACCGAACUUGAGUAUGGGAGAGGGAGGCGGAAUUCCGGGUGUAGUGGUGAAAUGCGUAGAUAUCCGGAGGAACACCAGUGGCGAAAGCGGCCUCCUGGCCCAAAACUGACGCUCAGACACGAAAGCUAGGGGAGCGAACGGGAUUAGAGACCCCGGUAGU
rnacentral:rRNA from 1 species